AGUGAACGCUGGCGGUAGGCCUAACACAUGCAAGUCGAACGGCAGCACAGGAGAGCUUGCUCUCUGGGUGGCGAGUGGCGGACGGGUGAGGAAUACAUCGGAAUCUACUCUGUCGUGGGGGAUAACGUAGGGAAACUUACGCUAAUACCGCAUACGACCUACGGGUGAAAGCAGGGGAUCUUCGGACCUUGCGCGAUUGAAUGAGCCGAUGUCGGAUUAGCUGGUUGGCGGGGUAAAGGCCCACCAAGGCGACGAUCCGUAGCUGGUCUGAGAGGAUGAUCAGCCACACGGGAAAUGAGACACGGUCCAGACUCCUACGGGAGGCAGCAGUGGGGAAUAUUGGACAAUGGGCGCAAGCCUGAUCCAGCCAUACCGCGUGGGUGAAGAAGGCCUUCGGGUUGUAAAGCCCUUUUGUUGGGAAAGAAAUCCAGCCGGCUAAUACCUGGUUGGGAUGACGGUACCCAAAGAAUAAGCACCGGCUAACUUCGUGCCAGCAGCCGCCGUAACAC
rnacentral:rRNA from 1 species